ensembl:snRNA U6 U6 spliceosomal RNA
GUGCUCGCUUAGGCACCACAUAUACUAAAACAAGAACAAUACAGAGAAGAUUAGCAUGGCCUUUGUGCAAGGAUGACACGCAAAUCUGUAAAGCAUUCCAUAUUUUU